rnacentral:SRP_RNA from 1 species
GCUGGGCGUGGUGGCGUGCGCCUGUAAUCCCAGUUACUCAGGAGGCUGAGGCAGGAGUAUCACUUGAACCCAGGAGGCAGAGGUUGCAGUGAGAUGACAUUGCGCCACUGCACUCCAGCCUGGGUGACAGAGUGAGACCCUGUCUAAA